rnacentral:rRNA from 1 species
AUUGAACGCUGGCGGCAUGCCUUACACAUGCAAGUCGAACGGCAGCACGGGAGCAAUCCUGGUGGCGAGUGGCGAACGGGUGAGUAAUAUAUCGGAACGUGCCCAGUCGUGGGGAUAACGUAGCGAAAGCUACGCUAAUACCGCAUACGAUCUAUGGAUGAAAGCGGGGAUCGCAAGACCUCGCGCGAUUGGAGCGGCCGAUAUCAGAUUAGGUAGUUGGUGAGGUAAAGGCUCACCAAGCCGACGAUCUGUAGCUGGUCUGAGAGGACGACCAGCCACACUGGGACUGAGACACGGCCCAGACUCCUACGGGAGGCAGCAGUGGGGAAUUUUGGACAAUGGCGCAAGCCUGAUCCAGCAAUGCCGCGUGCA